rnacentral:misc_RNA from 1 species
GAAAAUUUUCUUUCCAGCCAAAUUUGAAUGAAAAAACUGCAUACAAGUUAUCAAACAACCAAUGAAAAAGGCCAUAUAACCCAUUAAGAAAUCAACUAAAAAACCUUCCCUUAAGCAAGCUGCAACUAGCUGUGUAAUGUACAUGCAAAAAGAAUUGCCGCUAUCUUGAGCCAUACCAGAAUAGUCUGGAUUUGUUUUUCUGGCUCUGACCUGCUCCAAUAUCACCUACUUCGAACCAUGAAAAACCAUUUCCUGUGGGGAAAAUACAAUAGAAUAAAGAAACAUUGCAGUUAACGAAUCGGGUGAUAUUGCGCUGAUACUCUCUUGGGAGGCAACUUCCGGAGGAUGUAGAGCACUAGAGCUGAGGGUAGAAUCUCAACCAGCAUGUAAUAGAUCACAUUCAAAACUGGAUGGUCCAAAACAUCAAGUGAUGCAUCUGAAUCAAAAGCAGAAAGAAGAACCUGCAGGUUGAGAAUUGAGUUAAAAGCACAUCAACAAAACCCAUCAUAUGAUGAAAGUGAAUUUCACAUCAUUAUUGCCAUAUGACUGCUCUUUCCACUUAAGCCAAAAGGAUAAAAUUUAAACGUGACAAGUUUAACUUUUGGGGUCCAAAUACAGGAUAGUCUAAUCUUGUUUGAUCUUCUCAUCCCAAUAGAGCUACAUGAUAUUCUUGAGCAACCAAUUGUCACAUUAGAUUAAUCUUAUAUAAAUCUUAUAUAAAUCAUGACCAAAAUAAGCAUAGAACACACUGGUUCUUAGCUCAAGCAUCUCUAGAAUGCCUCCACUUCUUGCCUAUCUUGCUCAGCACAAUUCCACCUUACUCUCAGAAUAUCAUCAUUACAACCAAUUCAAACGUGGCUAUGUGUUGCCAACCACUUUAUAUGAAAAUGUCACAGAUGCUUAUACUCCAUCACGUCAACGCAGAUAAGUAACCAGCGGUCAUCAAAAUAUGAUGUGAGAAGAAAAUUUGAAGCAACCUCUUCACAAAAAGUUCUCAUAAGAGAAGAAUUACAUCCCGACAUUCCAAACUGCCAUGGUCCAUGGAUAAGCUCAUAAAAAGUAUUUAGUACCCUCCAUGCCAUACUCCCCCCACUGUAACAAAGAUGUCUGCUUUGUGAAUGCCCAAUCUUGAUCAACAAGAAUUGUUAAGAUAACAAGGGUGAAUACCUAAUUCCCAUGCUACUUCAGCUGCACAUGUACAGCACAUUUACCAAGAAUUUUCACAACAAUGGGAUCACACACGCUGCCUCAAGCUGAAAACUGAGUUCAGAAUUUGUAAUGAUUUUUCAAAGUGAAUUACUUCUCAAAGUCUUUAAGUGUUCACAUUCAUCUUUGAUCAAGCAAGGAGAAGAUCAGGAAGCUUUAGCAUCAUAUCGUCUGCAGGCUAGUAUGUGACUGCAUAUGUCUGUGCACUGGCUAUUAAUUGAUUUAUUCAUUCUUUUGCAAAUGAAAAAUGAUUUGCUUGAUGUUUUAUCUGUAUAAUUUAAUAAAACUAAGGUAUAUUAGAGAAAUUAAAUUAGCAAUGCGUCAGAAGAUAACAAUGCUAGAUGUCAUUUUCCACUGCAAUUGACAGCUUGCCUAGUCAGAUGGGAUGGCAUUCAAGAAAUAGGUAAAACGAGUAGAUCCACAGUUUUGCAUUUUUGAGCAUAUCUAAUAUAUUUUCACAACAUUCAACAAUGAAAGAUUAUUGUUUCAAGCUUACCACAAAACAUCUUAUAAGGAAGCACGUGAAACAUAUAGCUGUAACUGAUCCAACCUCAUGGAGCUUCUUUCUUCUCCCUUUAGAUUCAAUAGGGAAGCGUCUCAGCAUGAAAAAUAACCUUCCUCCAUACAACAAGAAACCCAAUGCAGCUAUAAUUGAUACCACUGCAAUAAAGAUCUUUCCAAUGAAUUCAACAACACUGUUGUCAUGUAUCCAAAGGUAUACCCAGAUGCAAACCUGCAAGAAGUAAAUUCCACCAUUGACUAAAAUAUAAACAAUUCUGAGCUUAUCAGUUGGCAAACUUCUUGCCUGGUGAUAUAUCUCUGCCCAAAAUAGGACAAGCAGGGUGUAAGUAGAAAAAAAGAGGAGUCCCGGGAGAUCCAAUAAUACCAACGUUAGAAGCUGGAUUGCAGGUGCAGUAGCACUAUGUUAGUGUAAAAGCCUAAGGCAUUCUAGAUACUAUGUGAUGCAGAAAACAACUUUAUGCAUGAACAUUAUCAAACAAGUCUUUUUCAAAUAAAUGAGCCUGAAACCAAGAGUAUGUUUAGAGGCAGAACUGAUGUUUUUUAAAGCUUCAGCAACAAACCUUGGGAUGCAAAAUAAAUACUUGCUUGUGAAAUCCAAACACAAUUGCACGCACUGAAAAAUAUAUAAUUCCAAAAGAACAAGUUAGCACUACAGUGACAAAGUUAUAAUGAGAAUCAGAGCAUCACUGAUACCUAAGCAUCACCUCCAUUCACAAUGAAGUUCAUAAGGUGGAAAACUUUCUGCGUUGUCCAACCAUACUCGGGCACUCUCAACUCAAUCCUUAUUAAUUGAAUCAGAGCAACAGAGGAGACAAGGGCAUAAGCAGCACAGAGAGCAUAGAAGAUCCCAUCCUGCCACCGAGUCGACUCAUUGAUCUCAUCCCACCAGUUCCCAACCAAACCAACAAUUUCCAUAGAAGCUAACUGCACUGGCAAUCUUGCCAUUCUCCCCAUCAAAAAUUUUCCCGAGAAAGUCCAGGAGAAGUCAAAAUCAAAAUCCUCGCCCCACCAACGCCCCACCACUUCCAAGCCCAAAAAAUAAAACAGAAAAAGCAAAUGAAAAAGAAAAGCAAAACCAAUAAGGAGUGGGAAAUUCAAAGCUAAAGAAGGAAAGACAGCAAAGGAUUGAGCUUUCGCUUAGCUCUACCAGACGGUCUACGGCUUUCAGCACCUAAGCGUCUAUCUUAAAGACAGAUGAUGAGAUUAGGUGGUUGUAG